GCCGUGCGGACGGUGGCUGGGCUGCCGGGCGCGCUGUGGAACCGCCUCGUGCUAGAGCAGCGGGCUGGCGACGGUCCUCGCGGGGGCGGGAAGCGGCUCAGGCUGCCCUCGCUGGCCUGCGGCGGCGCGGCUGGAAGCGCGGGCCACUCGUGCGUGGGUCACUCAGGGCUGCGCCUCGCGCGACUGUGUGUGCAGGAAACAAGCAGGAAAUACCCUAAAAUAGAAUGAAGCGCCAUGUUAAAGGUCGCGGACGUCGCGAGUGCUGUGGGAAUGUGGGCUGAGGUGGAGAGUUAUGGUGGCCCGUGUUACAGGCUCAGGGGUCGGAAAGAAGCCUAAUCGUGGAGGCGGCAUCUGAGGAGGGUCUUGAACGCUGGGCAGGCAUUUGCCCGACGGAGAUGGAGGAAGCUAGUCCUGUCUGAUGGAGGAAACGGCGGAGGCGUGGAGGGAGCCGUGCAGCGCUGGUGUGAGGAGCAGCGAGCAGGCCAGGCCUGUAAAGCAGAGUGAGGGAACCAGGAUAGAGAAGGCAAGUCGGGGUCCUGUGGUCGCUGAAGAAUUUGAAUGAAAUCAGUAAACAGGCUGUACAGGAAGCAUGGUGAUGGCAUCUGCAUGGCGCCUGUGGAGGCCCCAGGGAGCUUUUACUCAUGAUGGAAGGCACAGAGGGAGUAGGCACAUCACAUGGUCCGAGGAGGAGCAAGAGAAAAUGGGAGUGGGGCUCUUUGUCCUGGGAAGAGUUUGCUGCAUCUUCCAGUUUCAGUAAUCAAAGAAGCAAAGUUCCCUGCAGUUCUUCAAGGAACCUUGAGAAUUCAGAAGGUCUUGGGGUGGCUGCAUCCAUCCUGCAGACAAAUGCCAAUCAGCAGAGGGGCCAUUCCCAGGGACACAUGUCUGGCUGACUUGGGCCUUGGCCAGGCUUUGGAUUCACCUUGAAAACAUCCUCUCUGAACAUCAGAAGUCCACUUGGUCCCCGAACAGUGUAUUAACUUCUAACAUUUCUGACUUCCAGUCAUGGAGAUUUCAAAACCAAUUGCAUAUAGCAGCGAAGCUUUUCACUUCUAAUGGAACAUUUAGGAGAAGGGCGGCUUUUCCUAUUUUCUGUGUUAUCUUCAGCCUGUUAACUGUUGUCAGCCCUGGAGAGAAACCAUCCCUUCUCCUUAAAAACAUGAACCACAUACUAAGUUGCUUCUUGCCUCUUAAAGAUUCAGGUCACUCAGUUACAUCAGACUGAGACAGGACGCUCAGGUACAUCAUACUGAGACAGGACGCUCAGGUACAUCAUACUGAGACAGGACACUCAGGUACAUCAUACUGAGACAAACACUCAGGUACAUCAUACUGAGACAGGACGCUCAGGUACAUCACACUGAGACAGGACAUGUUGAUUGUUGGUGUGUAUUUCUCCCAAGCCACCACUCAAACCAGUGUUUUAUUUCCAUGGAGGUUGGCUGAUGGCUUUUAGCUUGAGCCCCAACAGUGUGACUUCAUACAAGGCAAUUUCUUCAGAAAUAUCAUGGAACUUCAGGGACAUUAUAUUAUUAAAUUAAAAAAACCUAAUAUGUUAAUUUUUUCGUUAAGUUUAUGAGUUUACUGAGUCUUUCUUUUCCAAAAUAGUUAAUGAGCUUUUGAGUCAUGUUUUUUAUGAAAGGAUUGACUUUCCCAUGGCGUCCAACUCUGUAGAUAAUCAUCCGAAACAGAUUUGACUGUAUUUGUUUAACAAAAGUCUGCCUAAACCAAACUCUGCCCUGAAAUUUUUGUUUUCCACACUUAUGUGCUAAAUCUGUGUAAUUUGGUAGUUUGUCUCUCCAGAACCACUGUUGGUCUUGUGUAACUAAUCAGCAGAGGCAGCAGUCUGACGGGUCCACAGAGACAAAGUAGGCAGCGGGAGGAAUGCAGUGGCCAGGCAGUUGAGGCACCUCAGGACCAGCAGCUCAGCUGCAUCCUUUUCUUUUCCCAAGGUCGCACUGAGCAAGUCAGGAUGGUGAAGAAAGUCUCCAUCUCCAAACUGAACACAGGAUUUGCUGAGGUGGCCUCCUGGAGCCGAAGUGUGUUUGGGGUGAUAUCUACAAACUUCCAUCACUGCUUCACUGGUGGCCUUUGGAGAAUCACCAUUUUUUUUCGGUCUUGUUCUGUGGGAUAUAUUCUGAAAAAGUAGGACAAAUGCUAAAAUAGCGAUGCCAAAUUUAAGUUUUUCAUAGAAAUAGCAUAGUAGGGAACUAUACUCAUUUUUAUAAGGAACACAUUUAAUCGUUACUCUUUCCCUUCCUUUUUUCUUUCCUUAAGAAAUAUUGAAAGUUGAUUAUGUACAAAGAAUAGAAUAUGAUGGGAAACAAUACAAGUACCUUAUUACAUAUCACAUAGUAUAAAUAUUUAAAUUGUGAAUAUAAAUUAAACAGAGCCCCUUGAUGUCAUGGCUCAUGCCUGUAUUCCCAGCACUUUGGGAGGCCAAGGCAGGUGGAUCACUUGAGCCCAGGAAUUCAGGACUAGCCUGGGUAACAUGGCAAAACCCUGUCUCUACAAAAUGUACAAAAAUUAGCCAGGCGUGAUGGCUCACAGCUUCACUCCCAGCUACGUGGGAGGCUGAGGAAGGAGGAUCACUUGAACCCUGGAGAUUGAGGCUGCAGUGAGCCAUGACUGUGCCACUGCACUCCAGCCUGGGCAACAGAGUGAGACCUGUCUCAAUCAGUCAAUCAAUCAAUCAAUAAAACAGAGCAACUCAGCAAUAAUUAUAUAUUUAAUUAUUCUAAGUAUUAUGUUUAAUAAUAUAAUUAUAUUUAAAUAUUAUAUAUUAUGUAACACAUCAAAGUGUAUCAUAUGAAGUUUUUUGUCUCCAUCAGUCUCUCUUAUUUUGAUAGUAAUGAUAAAACACUGGCCCAACUUAAUCCUCAGAAUGUGUUUAUUGAAUUAAAUGGUAGCCAUGGAAUUCAGAAGAACUUAUUUGAAGAGCUUUAAAAGAGAAAUAACACUUAUGAUUUUCCCUAUUACAAAAGUAUUUGUUCAUAGUAGAAAAUUAGAAAAUUCUGGAAAACAUGAGGAAUAAAAGAACAAUCAUGCCUAAUUCUAUCAUUCAGAGAUAGCAAUUACUACUAAUAUUUUGGCAUAUUUUCUCUAGCCUGUGUGUGUGUGUGUGUAUCUGUGUGUGUAUGUGUGUGUGUACACAAAGAAAAAGCCAGAGGAAAUGCCAUUUUUUUAUACAAAUAUAAAACAAAAAUGAGAUCUCACAAUAUACAUUGCUUUUAGACAUAUUCUUAAAAUUUAUAUCAUGAGCAUUUCUUUUUGUUAAUAAAGUUUUAUAAAACAUGA